UUUAAAGUGGCAGAUUAGUGCCGUGGACUUAAGAUUCACUCAUAAAGGUUUAACCCCUUUCUUUAAAA
rnacentral:tRNA from 1 species